CUCUGUUGCCACCACCAUCUAGAGUGAGACGAGCCACAGUGUUACAGGCUCCAGCCUCCAGCUCCCCCUUCUCCUGGUCCUCUAAGCCGGGAACAGAGUAGCUUGGCUGGAGAUACUGGAGAGCCUAAACUGGCAUGAGGCCUCCUCAGCAUGCACGUGGGGUUACGCACAUGGUUUCUGGACUACAUGUUCCGAUUGGGUGAGAGAAAACCUCUAGGCCUUCUCUGAUUGGACUUUAUUUUCAUACUCUGAUUGGUUGUCCUAAGACUUUCUUUCAUCCAAUCAGAACAUGAUAACAAAGUCCAAUCAGAGUAGGCCUCCGGGCUUUCUCUUAUCCAAUCCUGGAACGUGUAGUCCAGGAAAGGCAUAUUCAUAACCUCAGUACAUAAAUGGUGCUGAAGAAGAGUCAGGCUAUUCCAGGUUCUUCUGUAUCUGCUCACCGAGCUGCUCUGAGCCCGGCUUAGAGGACCAGGACAGACUGGAGGCUGUAGCCUGUGGCACCAUGGCUGGCCUCCCUGCAGUUGGUGGUGACAGAGACUGUAGUGUGGCUGGAGCGGUAGGAAAGGGAAAAUAGUUUUGGGAUAGAUGAAAGGGUAAAGAGGGUGGUUAGUGCCAAAAGGAAAAAAGGAUGGUGAGCUGGAGAAGGCAUUGCAUAAAGAUGGUAAUUUGGCCCUUUGUUUGAGCCCAUCAUCUGGGAGGUGAGUAACGCCUCUGCCCGGCCACCUUGUCUGGGAAGUGGGGAGCCCCUCUGCCCAGCCACCCCAUCUGGGAGGUGAGGAGUGCCUCUGCCUGGCCACCCAAUGUCUGGGAGGUGAGGAGUGCCUCUUCCCGGCUGCCCCAUCUGGGAGGUGAGGAGCGCCUCUGCCCGGCCACCCCCUCUGGGAAGUGAGGAGCGCCUCUGCCCGGCAGCCCUGUCUGGGAAGUGAGGAGCGCCACUGCCUGGCUGCCCCGUCUGGGUUGUGAGGAGCACCUCUGCCUGACCGCCACCCCAUCUGGGAAGUGGGGAGCGCCUUUGCCCAGCUGCCCCGUCUGGGAAGUGAGGAGCACCUUUCUCCUGCUGCCCAUCAUCUGGGAGGUGAGGAGUGCCUCUGAAUGGACGACACACAAUCUGGGAACUGAGGAGCGCCUCUGCCUGGCCGCGCCAUCUGGGAAGUGAAGAGCGCCUCUGCCCGGCCGCCCCAUCUGGGAAGUGAGGAGCGCCUCUGCCUGGCUGCCCAUCAUCUGGGAGGUGAGGAGCACCUCUCCCCAGCCGCCCAUUGUCUGGGAGGUGAGGAGUUCCUCUGGCUGGCCGCCCGGUCUGGCAGUUGAGCGCCUCUGCCCGGCCACCCCCUCUGGGAAGUGAAGAGCGCCUCUGCCCAGCCUCCCCAUCUGGGAGGUGAGGAGCGCCUCUGCCCGGCUGCCCCAUCUGGGAGGUGAGGAGCGCCUCUGCCUGACCUCCACCCCAUCUGGGAAUGGGGAGUGGCAUUUCUCGGCCGCCCCAUCUGGGAAGUGAGGAGCACCUUUCUCUGGCUGCCAAUCAUCUGGGAGGUGAGAAGCGCCUCUUCACGGAUGACACACCAUCUGGGAAGUGAGGAGCGCCUCUGCCUGGCUGCCCCAUCUGGGAAGUGAGGAGCACCUCUUCCUGGUCUCCCCGUCUGGGAGGUGAGGAGCGCCGCUGCCCGGCCACCCCAUCUAGGAGGUGAGGAGCGCCUCUGCCCAGCCACCCCAUGUGGGAGGCGAGGAGCGCCUCUGCCUGGCCGCCCAGUCUGGGAGGUGAGGAGCGCCUUUGCCCAGCUGCCCAUCAUCUGGGAGGUGAGGAGCGCCUCUGCCAGCCCGCCCCAUCUGGGAGGUGAGGAGCGCCUCUUCCUGGUCUCCCCGUCUGGGAGGUGAGGAGCGCCUCUGCCCAGCCACCCCAUCUAGGAGGUGAGGAGUGCCUCUGCCCGGCCACCCCAUGUGGGAGGCGAGGAGCACCUCUGCCUGGCCGCCCAGUCUGGGAGGUGAGGAGCGCCUUUGCCCAGCUGCCCAUCAUCUGGGAGGUGAGGAGUUCCUCUGCCAGGCCGCCUCAUCUGGGAGGUGAGGAGCGCCUCUGCCCAGCCGCCCCGUCUGGGAAGUGGGGAGCACCUCUGCCUGGCCGUGAUGUCUGGGAGGUGAGGAGUGCCUCUGCCUGGCCACCCCGUCUGGGAAAUGAGGAGCACCUCUGCCUGGCUGCCCAUUGUCUGGGAGGUGAGGAGCCCCUCUGCCUGGCUGCCCCCCCUGGGAGGUGAGGAGCACCUCUGCCCAGCCGCCCCGUUUGGGAGGUGAGGAGUGCCUCUGCCCGGCCACCCAUCGUUUGGGAUGUGAGGAGUGCCUCUGCCUGGCUGCCCUUCGUCUGGUAGGUGAGGAGUGCCUCUUCCCAGCCGCCCCAUCUGGGAAAUGAGGAGCACCUCUUGCCUGGUUGCCCCAUCUGGGAAGUGAGGAGCGCCUCUGCCCAGCUGCCCCAUCUGGGAAGUGAGGAGCACCUCUGCCCAGCCGCCCCAUCUGGGAAGUGAGGAGUGCCUCUGCCUGGCUGCCCAUUGUCUGGGAGGUGAGGAGUGCCUCUGCCCGGCCACCCUGUCUGGGUUGUGAGGAGCGCCUCUGCCCAGCUCCCACCCUGUCUGGGAAGUGGGGAGCGCCUCUUCCCAGUCGCCCCAUCUGGGAGGUGAGGAGUGCCUCCCUCCAGCUGCCCAUCAUCUGGUAGGUGAGGAGUGCCUCUGAAUGGACGACACACAAUCUGGGAACUGAGGAGCGCCUCUGCCUGGCCGCGCCAUCUGGGAAGUGAAGAGCGCCUCUGCCCGGCCGCCCCAUCUGGGAAGUGAGGAGCGCCUCUGCCUGGCUGCCCAUCAUCUGGGAGGUGAGGAGCACCUCUCCCCAGCCGCCCAUUGUCUGGGAGGUGAGGAGUUCCUCUGGCCGGCCGCCCGGUCUGGCAGUUGAGGAGCGCCUCUGCCCGGCCACCCCCUCUGGGAAGUGAAGAGCGCCUCUGCCCAGCCUCCCCAUCUGGGAGGUGAGGAGCGCCUCUGCCCGGCUGCCCCAUCUGGGAGGUGAGGAGCGCCUCUGCCUGACCUCCACCCCAUCUGGGAAUGGGGAGUGGCAUUUCUCGGCCGCCCCAUCUGGGAAGUGAGGAGCACCUUUCUCUGGCUGCCAAUCAUCUGGGAGGUGAGAAGCGCCUCUUCACGGAUGACACACCAUCUGGGAAGUGAGGAGCGCCUCUGCCUGGCCGUCCCAUCUGGGAAGUGAGGAGCACCUCUUCCUGGUCUCCCCGUCUGGGAGGUGAGGAGCGCCUCUGCCCGGCCACCCCAUCUAGGAGGUGAGGAGCGCCUCUGCCCGGCCACCCCAUGUGGGAGGCGAGGAGCACCUCUGCCUGGCCGCCCAGUCUGGGAGGUGAGGAGCGCCUUUGCCCAGCUGCCCAUCAUCUGGGAGGUGAGGAGCGCCUCUGCCAGGCCGCCUCAUCUGGGAGGUGAGGAGCGCCUCUGCCCAGCCGCCCCGUCUGGGAAGUGGGGAGCACCUCUGCCUGGCCGCGACGUCUGGGAGGUGAGGAGUGCCUCUGCCUGGCCACCCCGUCUGGGAAAUGAGGAGCACCUCUGCCUGGCUGCCCAUUGUCUGGGAGGUGAGGAGCCCCUCUGCCUGGCUGCCCCCCUUGGUAGGUGAGGAGCACCUCUGCCCAGCCGCCCCGUCUGGGAGGUGAGGAGUGCCUCUGCCCGGCCGCCCAUCGUCUGGGAUGUGAGGAGUGCCUCUGCCUGGCUGCCCUUCAUCUGGUAGGUGAGGAGUGCCUCUUCCCAGCCGCCCCAUCUGGGAAAUGAGGAGCACCUCUUGCCUGGUUGCCCCAUCUGGGAAGUGAGGAGCGCCUCUGCCCAGCCGCCCCAUCUGGGAAGUAAGGAGCACCUCUGCCUGGCCGUUGUGCAAUCUUCCAAGUGUGAAGUGACAGCCUUUCUGCAGGUGUACCCAACAGCUUCGAAGAGACAGCCACCAUCGGGAACGGACCAUGAUGAUGAUGGCAGUUUUGUCAAAAAGAAAAGAGGGAAAUGUGGGGAAAAGGAAGAGAGAUCAGAUUGUUACUGUGUCUGUGUAGAAAGAAGUAGACAUAGGAGACUCCAUUUUCUUCUGUACUAAGAGAAAUUCUUCUGCCUUGGGAUGCUGUUAAUCUAUAACCUUACCCCCAACCCCGUGCUCUCUGAAACAUGUGCUGUGUCAACUCAGGGUUAAAUGGAUUAAGGGCGGUGCAAGAUGGGCUUUGUUAAACAGAUGCUUGAAGGCAGCAUGCUCAUUAAGAGUCAUCACCACUCCCUAAUCUCAAGUACCCAGGGACACAAACACUAUGGAAGGCUGCAGGGACCUCUGCCUAGGAAAACCAGAGACCUUUGUUCACGUGUUUAUCUGCUGACCUUCUCUCCACUAUUAUCCUAUGACCCUGCCACAUCCCCCUCUCCAAGAAACACCCAAGAAUGAUCAAUAAAUAAUAAUAAAAAAAGCAUAGUGCAUCACCCCAAGGGUAGAGCGUGUGUGUGUGUGUGUGUGUGUGUGUGUGUGUGUGUGUGUGUGUGUGUUCGUGGAUAGUUUCUCCUAGCUAACCAUAAGACAGGAACUUGGAGUCUUGGGACAGGAAGAGAGAAAAGAGGGGAGAAAGUAUCCUGAACCAAGUAUAGAGUUGUCAAUCUCUUAACUAGAAGGUUCAAUAGUUGGGAUUUAUUUCCACAAAACAAGGAAAUUUGUGUUUUUAUAAUUAUAAAAAAGUGUUCCUGUCUGUCUAGGCUUGUACCUAAAUGGGAGACUAUAAACUCUAUUGUCCAGUAUUUUACUGAAAACUAUGUAUGACACUCUGCAGUCCAUUGUGACAUUCCUACAGCCAAGAAAAAUAACUGAAAACACUGAACGUGUCAGGGAUUCAUGAUAAGGAUUCAUUUCUGGAGCAAAGACUGGUCUUGUGAAGAAAGGACCUGUCCCCUUCUCAUGCAUGGGAUUCUACCCCCAUCCCACACACCAGAAGCACUGCCAGGACAUCUCUGCACUAUGCUGUGAGGUGGGUGGUUUAGGGUACCAUUGUUAUAUGACUUUUAUCAUUUUAGUUCUGUACAUCCUAUCUUGGGAAGUAAAUUUUUGGUUAUUUCUUUUCAUUUUACCUUUUCUUCUUGUUUAACUUUAAAAUGGAAAAAGAAGCAAAUGUUCACAAUAAACUUUACUGUUUAAUCUGAAAAAAAAAAGAAAAACAUUGCAGAAUGAUAGCCACAGUUUUAAAAAUAAGCACAUUAUAAAGAUAAUAAAAUUGUAAUAAAACUAAUUAUAAUGAACAUAUAAAAGAAGUCUUCCUGUGGAUAUUAGUAUCAUAAAACAAUUUAUAUUAUUUAACCAGUUAUAGACUCACUGUUGGCAUGUUACAUUUAACACACACUUGACUUUUGAUUUGAAAUCAUUUCCUCAUUAAAUCCUGUAUCUCACCUUUGAGAUUAAUGUGAUAAUGUGAUGUAGCCUCUAUUGAUGCCUCAGAGAGUGAGAAUGUGAUGUAACCUUUAGUGAAGCCUCACACUGUUUAUUAAGAUCCGCCAAUUUUUUUUGAAGUUGUCUCACAAUGACCUGAAAAGACAUGUUUUUGAUUUUGUGAAUCAUCUUAUCAAAUUAACAAUAUUUACUUUCAAAAAGAUCCCCAAAUAUAUUGAUUCAGUUUAUUUUCUUCAUUUGUGCACACUGCUGCUUGUUAGUGAAUUUACUUAAGGACACAAGAAGGUGUAAUCUUUCUGCCAAAUUGGUACUGUCUUACUAGACACAAGAUUCAUCUCACUGGUAAUUUCUUCCCUUAAUGAAUCUGUAAUUCUUCACAACUUACUGAAGUCUCAAAAAAAAAAAAAAGGCAGGACUAGUGGUGGUAAAUUCUAAACAGUGGAAUUCUUUCCUUCUUCUGUAUUAGAAGCACAAAUCAACAUCAAAGUUCCUCACAUAUUCAAUCACCUGCUGAAAUUUUUCCAAUAGAUUUUUAUCUCAGAAUAAAAGUAAUUUUAUUUCAAACUUUACAGGCCCUUGGUAACCUGGUCUCCACAUCCCUCCUGACCUCAGCUCCUAUGUUUCUCUCCUCUACUCACUUCUUUUGUACUAUACAUGAACCUUGCCACCCCUUAUGAAUUGAAAAAUGGGGAUCCAAUGCAAAGCUAAUAAAUCACAGAUAGCUACAAUCAUCUUUCUGUGGGACAAAGUUCUAUCCACAUGAUAGUUUUUGAGCCUUGAAAUAGAAAUUAUGAGCAAAUGAUUUGUAACAAUAUUCAAAAUAAAUUAUGAAUACCAGUGGGGUGAUUAAAUCAAAUUUGAUAUUGCUAAAAUCCACUACAUUUGUCCUAAGGUAUUAUUUAACAAAACACAGAUGCCUUUAAAAAAUUGAGAGGUUUUAACAAUACAUAAUUUCAGAUUCAAAUAUGUUCAGAUUAAGUCAAAUUGACAUAAAUGAAAAUAAAAUUCUACCAAAUAAAAUAUAUAAAAAGCUACUUAAAAAGUGUUAUUACAAGAUGCAGAAAUGUACACUUCAAAAUAUACUUCAAAUACACUUCUGUUCCUCUGGAAAAUUUAGAAUUAACUGUCAAUGUAAAUUGCUGAACUGAAUCUUAAUUUCAAAAUACUAAUUGCUGAUAUGGGCAUUCCCAUUUUUCUGCUUCAUUGUAGUCAAAAAAUGUGGCCACAAAGAGACAUUAAAACCUUUAUUUCAG
rnacentral:lncRNA from 10 species